rnacentral:tRNA from 1 species
CGAGAGAUAACGUAGUGGUAGCGUGUUCGCUUUGGGAGUGAGAAGUCGUAGGUUCGAAUCCUACUCUCUUGA